AACCAGCACCUCAAGUGGUCAGGAUGAUUAUUGGGCCUAAAGCAUCCGUAGCCUGUUCUGUAAGUUUUCGGUUAAAUCUAUGCGCUCAACGUAUAGGCUGCCGAAAAUACUGCAGAACUAGGGAGUGGGAGAGGUAGACGGUACUCGGUAGGAAGGGGUAAAAUCCUUUGAUCUAUUGAUGACCACCUGUGGCGAAGGCGCCACACUGGAACGGAUCCGACGGUCAGGGACGAAGCCUAGGGGCACGAACCGG
rnacentral:rRNA from 1 species